UGGACGAGCUGGUCUCUGACUAGGCCCGUCACGGUGGGACCGCGCGUCCCAGGCCGUAGCUUCCUCGGAAAAGGGCAGCGUUUUCCCCACAACCACGGCCAUUGGCAAGAAUCUACUGGUAACUGAGGACAACAAAUAAGAAGAAGAAAGAAAAAUAUCUACCUCUGAGACUCUGGACUUAAGAGUGAAACUAAGGGACAAGCUUUACCAUGGGUCAUUCAGCUCCCGCCCCAGGUAUGGAGGAACUCUGUUCACACUGACCAGCAGGGAACUGUCCUCUAAGCCUUUACUCAUCGAACGUCCUCAGAUCCUAAUUGGAAAUCAUCAAAUAGGUCACUGUGGUCAUCUCGAUUCAGUAAAGUCCCAUGUCUGCCAUGGUCAGAUUGUUGACCUGCAAGGAGGAGGACUGGGUGACUUUCCAUAGAUCUUUCUGUUUUGGGUCAGCCCCUAAAUUUGUACCUCCCUUUCUGUCUGAACAUGAGAGCUGUUACAUCCUGAGGCCAAGAGUCUUCUGCAGGAAACUUAAGGGGAAGCGUCCCCGGCUCCCCCGGUGUCCCAUUCAUCAUCCAUGGAUUUGACCUUUGUUGUAAAACUGUUCCCUGUAAACAGGAGAAACAGCGAUAUAAACUGACUCGGAUAAUC